ACUCAAAGGAAUUGACGGGGACCCGCACAAGCGGUGGAGCAUGUUCUUUAAUUCGAUGAUACGCGAGAAACCUUACCAGCCCUUGACAUGUACAUUUUGAUUUCUGGAAACAGAUUUCUUCGGUUCGGCCGGGUGUAUGCAGGUGUUGCAUGGCCGUCGUCAGCUCGUGUCGUGAGAUGUUGGGUUAAGUCCCGCAACGAGCGCAACCCCUAUUGUUAGUUGCUACCAUUUAGUUGAGCACUCUAACGAGACUGCCGAUGAUAAAUCGGAGGAAGGUGGGGAUGACGUCAGGUCAUCAUGGCCCUUACGGGCUGGGCUAGAAACGUGCUACAAUGGCGACUACAAAGGGCUGCGAGGCAGUGAUGCCAAGCCAAUCCCAAAAAGUCGUCUCAGUUCAGAUUGUAGGCUGCAAUUCGCCUACAUGAAGUUGGAAUCGCUAGUAAUCGUGGAUCAGCAUGCCACGGUGAAUACGUUCCCGGGUCUUGUACACACCGCCCGU
rnacentral:rRNA from 1 species